UCUGUAGUCGAAUGGUUUGCUGCUGUCUGUGACACCUACUGGCUGUGUGACCUUGGGCCCUGGCAGAAGGAGCACCUGCACAGAGGAAAUGAUAGCUUGCGUGCCCUAAUGCAUGACCUAGAAUCCCAGGACAUCAGAGCCAGAGGGAAUCUUCCAGGCAGCGUAUGGCACUUCAUGUUUUGGACCAGGACACCAAGAGUGAUCGACCCGAGACUUUUUACUCCAAGACUCUGCAGGGGAGUUCUCAGCUACCACACCCAAAAUGACUACACAGCAAAGAAAUGCCAAGAUCGGAAGUUUCUCAAGCACCAAAUGGUUCCAAAAAAAUCCCGGGACCUAGGGUUUCACCGGUGAGGAAACCUCUCAGUCCCGUGCUUCUCUCCUCAGCCAAGGAAACUCUUGGCCAGCUACGCUGUGGAAGCUCCCCCAGAUCUGGGCCUCUUACCUACAUGGCACUUAAUGAAUACUUCUGGAUUAACUGCUACAGGCGGUGCAAUGGACAGAUCACCGGCCCUGGAGUCAAGAGAACCUGAGUUCAAAUCCAGCCUCAGACACUUGACACUUAC